GACGAACGCUGGCGGCGUGCUUAACACAUGCAAGUCGAACGGAAAGGCCCUGCUUUUGUGUGGUGCUCGAGUGGCGAACGGGUGAGUAACACGUGAGUAACCUGCCCUUGACGUUGGGAUAACUGCAGGAAACUGGUGCUAAUACCGGAUAGGAGCUCCUGCUGCAUGGUGGGGGUUGGAAAGUUUAGGCGGUUGGGGAUGGACUCGGGGCUUAUCAGCUGGUUGGUCGGGUAGUGGCUUACCAAGGCUUUGACGGGUAGCCGGCAUGAGAGGGUGAACGGCCACCUUGGGACUGAGAUACGGCCCAGACUCCUACGGGAGGCAGCAGUGGGGAAUAUUGCACAAUGGGCGGAAGCCUGAUGAAGAACCGCCGCGUGCGGGAUGACGGCCUUCGGGUUGUAAACCGCUUUAGCCUGUGACGAAGCGUGAGUGACGGUAAUGGGUAAAGAAGCACCGGCUAACUACGUG
rnacentral:rRNA from 1 species